CACUAUAUUCCCCAGGAUGGUCUCCAACUCCUGGACUCAAGCAAUCUUCCCACCUCAGACUACAGGCAUGAGCCACCAUGCCCAGCCAUAUUGUUCAUUUUUAACCCUGUCUCAGUGUGGCCUGCUCCCAGAACUGUUUCUCCUGACUUCUCAUUUCACCAAGAAGACAUGGACUCAGAAAAAUGAAGAGAGAAACACAAAGACACAGGAGCAGCAACCAAGCCCCUCUUCUCCAGGCAAUCAUCUGACUUCAAUUGGCAUAGACCCCUUAGGG
rnacentral:lncRNA from 1 species